rnacentral:tmRNA from 1 species
GGGGAUGCUAGGCAUCGACGGUUAGUCGUGUCGGUUGUGUGCAGUGUCGAAAAUGAUUCUAAUUCGUAAAGACGGAUCACUCUGUACGUGCAAACAAAGCAGUACCAAGUCCUUACGCUCGCGCGUUCGGAUUCACACCCGCUUUUGCGUAAAUAAACGCUCGCCGGUGCGAUGCUCGGAAGUCAAACGUCUCAUACGACUGCCCGGGUAGAAUAGCCAUGAGGCUCGAUAUUCCUACGCCGUUCACGUAGGCACGUCUAAAUUGUAUGAACUCGAGGUGAUAGUGUUUGGUUAAUCUUCUAGCUAUCACCCUUAAACUAAAAGGUUAACUACGCACUGUAGACUCGCAAUCGCGCCCUAAUUCGGACGGGGGUUCAACUCCCCCCAUCUCCACCA